GUAGCAUUGCUUCUUGUUUGGUCAUGCGGGUGCUAUCCCCUCCUAAGGGACAGGUCGUAGGUUCGAAUCCUACUGGGGGCGCCA
rnacentral:tRNA from 1 species